CGUCGAGUGAAUAAAGAUGGCUGCUGCAUAGUCAAUGAGACAUGUGCUUUAGGAAGGUAUUGAGAAUUCUUAAGUCACUUCCUUUCACAAAGGACCACAUGUAGUAUCCGCCUCCUAGAGAUGACCAUUAGGUAUUGGUUAUGUUACCUCUGUGGGUGGAUACUAGAUGGGGUUUCCAGAAACUAGAGUUUCAGUUUCAUGACUGGGUCGGAAGAAGCCAGGUGUCUUUAG